rnacentral:rRNA from 1 species
ACGAACGCUGGCGGCGUGGAUAUAAGACAUGCAAGUCGGACGAGAUUUCGUCCUGUAGCAAUACGGGAAGAAGUCUAGUGGCGAACGGGUGCUUAACCACGUGGCAAUUUGUCUUAAAAGUGGGGGAAUAGCUCGGCGAAAGCCAAAUUAAUACCGCAUGUGAUUAGAGUGGACAUCCAUUCAAAAUUAAAGUCGGGGCAAACCUGACGCUUUUUGAGAAGCCCGGCGGCCUAUCAGCUAGUUGGUGAGGUAACGGCUCACCCAAGGCUUGACGGGUUAGCUGGUCUGAGAGGACGACCAGCCACAACUGGGGACUGAAGACACGGCCCAGACACCUACGGGUGGCAGCAGUCGAGAAUUUUUCUCAAUGGGGGAAACCCUGAAGGAGCGACGCCCGCCGUGGAGGAUGAAGGUCCUUCGGAUUGUAAACUCCUGUCAUUGGGGAACAAGGUGCAUACGUUAACUGCGUGCGCAUUGAUAGUACCCGAAGAGGAAGAGACGGCUAACUCUGUGCCAGCAGCCGCGGUAAUAACAGAGGUCUCAAGCGUUGUUCGGAUUCAUUGGGCGUUAAAGGGUGCGUAGGCGGCGCGGUAAGUCGAGUGUGAAAUCUCCGGAGCUUAAACUCCGAAACUGCAUUCGAUACUCUGCCGUGCUUGAGGACUGGAGAGGAGGGAGACUGGAAUUUACGGUGUAGCGGUGAAAUGCGUAGAUAUCGUAAGGAAGACCAGUGGCGAAGGCGGGUCUCUGGACAGUUCCUGACGCUGAGGCACGAAGGUCAGGGGGAGGCAAACGGGAUUAGAUACCCCGGUAGUCCUGACAGUAAACGGUGCAACGUUUGGUGUGGGAGGAUUCGACCCCCUUCUGCGCCGGGAGCUAACGCGUUAUUAAACGUGCCGCCUGGGGAGUACGGUCGCAAGAUUAAAAGCUCAAAGAAAUUGACGGGGGGCCCGCACAAGCGGUGGAGUAUGUGGCUCAAUUCGAUGCAACGCGAAGAACCUUACCAGGCCCUUGACAUGCAUCUCUAAGAAGUUGGUGAAAGCCAGCGAGUCCCGAAAGGGACAAUUUGCCACAGGUGCUGCAUGGCUGUCGUCAGCUCGUGUCGUGAGAUGUUGGGUUAUAAGUCCCGCAAACGAGCGCAAACCCCUGUGAACUGUUGCCACCGGAGCGAGAGCUCCGAGCACUCUGUUCAGACUGCCCCGCUCUAACGGGGAGGAAAGGUGGGGACGACGUCAAGUCAGUAUUGGCCCUUACGGCCCCUGGGCUGCACACGUACUACAAUGCCCAGUACAGAACGAUCCUAGACCGCGAGGUGGAGGGAAAUCACUAAAAACUGGGCCCAGUUUCAGAUUGAAGUCUGCAACUCGACUUCAUGAAGCCGGAAAUCGCUAGUAAUGGCGUAUCAGCUACGACGCCGUUAAUACGUUCCCGGGCCUUGUACACACCACCGCCCGUCCACAUCAUGGGAGUCGCUUGUAGCCGAAAGUCGGCGCGCCUAACCAGCAAUGGGUGCAGCCGCCCUACGCUAUGAGCGGUAACUGGAUG